rnacentral:rRNA from 1 species
AUUGAACGCUGGCGGCAUGCCUUACACAUGCAAGUCGAACGGCAGCGCGGGCUUCGGCCUGGCGGCGAGUGGCGGACGGGUGAGUAAUGCAUCGGAACGUGCCCAGGAGUGGGGGAUAACGUAGCGAAAGUUACGCUAAUACCGCAUACGUACUGAGGGAGAAAGCGGGGGAUCGAAAGAACUCGCGCACAUGGAGCCGCCCAUGUCGGAUUAGCUAGUUGGUGAGGUAAAAGCUCACCAAGGCGACGAUCCGUAGCUGGUCUGAGAGGACGAACAGCCACACUGGGAAUGAGACACGGCCCAGACUCCUACGGGAGGCAGCAGUGGGGAAUCUUGGACAAUGGGGGAAACCCUGAUCCAGCAAUGCCGCGUGUGGGAUGAAGGCCCUCGGGUUGUAAACCACUUUUGGCAGGAAAGAAAUCGCCUGUGCUAAUACCAUGGGCGGAUGACGGUACCUGCAGAAUAAGCACCGGCUAACUACGUGCCAGCCGCCGCAGUAA